rnacentral:rRNA from 1 species
CAAGACCUGCGUUUUUGGAGCGGCCGAUGUCUGAUUAGCUAGUUGGUGGGGUAAUGGCCUACCAAGGCUUCGAUCAGUAGCUGGUCUGAGAGGACGGCCAGCCACACUGGGACUGAGACACGGCCCAGACUCCUACGGGAGGCAGCAGUGGGGAAUUUUGGACAAUGGGCGCAAGCCUGAUCCAGCCAUGCCGCGUGAGUGAAGAAGGCCUUCGGGUUGUAAAGCUCUUUCAGCCGAGAAGAAAAGAUUGCGACUGAUAAUCGCAAUUCAUGACGGUACCGGCAGAAGAAGCACCGGCUAACUACGUGCCAGCAGCCGCGGUAAUACGUAGGGUGCGAGCGUUAAUCGGAAUUACUGGGCGUAAAGGGUGCGCAGGCGGUUUUGUAAGUCAGAUGUGAAAUCCCCGGGCUUAACCUGGGAACU